rnacentral:rRNA from 1 species
AUGGUUAAGUUAGAAAGGGCGCACGGUGAAUGCCUUGGCACUAGGAGCCGAUGAAGGACGGGACUAACACCGAUAUGCUUCGGGGAGCUGUAAGUGAGCUUUGAUCCGGAGAUUUCCGAAUGGGGAAACCCACUGUUCGUAAUGGAACAGUAUCUUUAUCUGAAUACAUAGGAUAUUGAAGGCAGACCCGGGGAACUGAAACAUCUAAGUACCCGGAGGAAGAGAAAGCAAAUGCGAUUUCCUGAGUAGCGGCGAGCGAAACGGAAUUAGCCCAAACCAAGAGGCUUGCCUCUUGGGGUUGUAGGACACUCUAUACGGAGUUACAAAGGAACGAAGUAAAUGAAGCGACCUGGAAAGGUCCGUCGAAGAAGGUAACAACCCUGUAGUUGAAACUUCGUUCCCUCUUGAGUGGAUCCUGAGUACGGCGGAACACGUGAAAUUCCGUCGGAAGCUGGGAGGACCAUCUCCCAAGGCUAAAUACUACCUAGUGACCGAUAGUGAACCAGUACCGUGAGGGAAAGGUGAAAAGCACCCCGGAAGGGGAGUGAAAGAGAUCCUGAAACCGUGUGCCUACAAGUAGUCAGAGCCCGUUAACGGGUGAUGGCGUGCCUUUUGUAGAAUGAACCGGCGAGUUACGAUCCCAUGCAAGGUUAAGCUGAUAAGGCGGAGCCGUAGCGAAAGCGAGUCUGAAUAGGGCGUUUAGUAUGUGGUUGUAGACCCGAAACCAGGUGAUCUACCCAUGUCCAGGGUGAAGUUCAGGUAACACUGAAUGGAGGCCCGAACCCACGCACGUUGAAAAGUGCGGGGAUGAGGUGUGGGUAGCGGAGAAAUUCCAAUCGAACCUGGAGAUAGCUGGUUCUCUCCGAAAUAGCUUUAGGGCUAGCCUCAUGUUGUGAGAGUCUUGGAGGUAGAGCACUGAUUGGACUAGGGGCCCCCAACGGGUUACCGAAUUCAGUCAAACUCCGAAUGCCAAAGACUUAUCCAUGGGAGUCAGACUGCGAGUGAUAAGAUCCGUAGUCAAAAGGGAAACAGCCCAGACCACCAGCUAAGGUCCCCAAGUAUACGUUAAGUGGAAAAGGAUGUGGAGUUGCUUAGACAACCAGGAUGUUGGCUUAGAAGCAGCCACCAUUUAAAGAGUGCGUAAUAGCUCACUGGUCGAGUGACUCUGCGCCGAAAAUGUACCGGGGCUAAACGUAUCACCGAAGCUGUGGAUUGACAUCUUUGAUGUCAGUGGUAGGAGAGCGUUCUAAGUGCUGUGAAGUCAGACCGGAAGGACUGGUGGAGCGCUUAGAAGUGAGAAUGCCGGUAUGAGUAGCGAAAGACAAGUGAGAAUCUUGUCCACCGAAUGCCUAAGGUUUCCUGAGGAAGGCUCGUCCGCUCAGGGUUAGUCGGGACCUAAGCCGAGGCUGAAAAGCGUAGGCGAUGGCCAACAGGUUGAUAUUCCUGUACCACCUCCCCGCCGUUUGAGUAAUGGGGGACGCAGUAGGAUAGGGUAAGCGCGCUGCUGGAUAUGCGCGUUCAAGCAGUUAGGCUGAUGAGUAGGCAAAUCCGCUCAUCAUAAAGGCUGAGCUGUGAUGACGAGGGAAUUAUAGUACCGAAGUUCCUGAUUCCACACUGCCAAGAAAAGCCUCUAGCGAGGCGGGAGGUGCCCGUACCGCAAACCGACACAGGUAGGCGAGGAGAGAAUCCUAAGGUGAUCGAGAGAACUCUCGUUAAGGAACUCGGCAAAAUGACCCCGUAACUUCGGGAGAAGGGGUGCUCUGGUAGGGUGUAUAGCCCGAGAGAGCCGCAGUGAAUAGGCCCAGGCGACUGUUUAGCAAAAACACAGGUCUCUGCGAAGCCGCAAGGCGAAGUAUAGGGGCUGACGCCUGCCCGGUGCUGGAAGGUUAAGAGGAGGGGUUAUCCUUUGGGAGAAGCUCUGAAUCGAAGCCCCAGUAAACGGCGGCCGUAACUAUAACGGUCCUAAGGUAGCGAAAUUCCUUGUCGGGUAAGUUCCGACCCGCACGAAAGGCGUAACGAUCUGGGCACUGUCUCAACGAGAGACUCGGUGAAAUUAUAGUACCUGUGAAGAUGCAGGUUACCCGCGACAGGACGGAAAGACCCCGUGGAGCUUUACUGUAGCCUGAUAUUGAAUUUUGGUACAGCUUGUACAGGAUAGGUAGGAGCCUGAGAAGCCGGAGCGCUAGCUUCGGUGGAGGCGUCGGUGGGAUACUACCCUGGCUGUAUUGAAAUUCUAACCCGCGGCCCUGAUCGGGCCGGGAGACAGUGUCAGGUGGGCAGUUUGACUGGGGCGGUCGCCUCCUAAAAUGUAACGGAGGCGCCCAAAGGUUCCCUCAGAAUGGUUGGAAAUCAUUCGUAGAGUGUAAAGGCACAAGGGAGCUUGACUGCGAGACCUACAAGUCGAGCAGGGACGAAAGUCGGGCUUAGUGAUCCGGUGGUUCCGCAUGGAAGGGCCAUCGCUCAACGGAUAAAAGCUACCCCGGGGAUAACAGGCUUAUCUCCCCCAAGAGUCCACAUCGACGGGGAGGUUUGGCACCUCGAUGUCGGCUCAUCGCAUCCUGGGGCUGUAGUCGGUCCCAAGGGUUGGGCUGUUCGCCCAUUAAAGCGGUACGCGAGCUGGGUUCAGAACGUCGUGAGACAGUUCGGUCCCUAUCCGUCGUGGGCGUAGGAAAUUUGAGAGGAGCUGUCCUUAGUACGAGAGGACCGGGAUGGACACACCGCUGGUGUACCAGUUGUCUUGCCAAAGGCAUCGCUGGGUAGCUAUGUGUGGACGGGAUAAGUGCUGAAAGCAUCUAAGCAUGAAGCCCCCCUCAAGAUGAGAUUUCCCAUAGCGCAAGCUAGUAAGAUCCCUGAAAGAUGAUCAGGUUGAUAGGUCAGAGGUGGAAGCGUGGCGACAUGUGUAGCUGACUGAUACUAAUCGAUCGAGGACUUAACCAAAC